rnacentral:rRNA from 1 species
GACGGAGGAUGCAAGUGUUAUCCGGAAUCACUGGGCGUAAAGCGUCUGUAGGUGGUUUAAAAAGUCCACUGUUAAAAAUUGAAGCUUAACUUCAAAGAUGCCGUGGAAACUUUUAAACUUGAGUAUGAUAGGGGUAGAGGGAAUUUCCAGUGGAGCGGUGAAAAUGCGUAGAUAUUGGAAAGACCACCAAUGGCGAAGGCACUCUACUGGGCCAUUACUGACACUUGGAGAGACGAAAGCUAGGGGAGCGAAUGGG